rnacentral:misc_RNA from 1 species
GUAGGUGAACCUGCGGAUGGAUUAUUAACAAUUUUUAUUAACAAACACUUGUGAACUGUAUGUUGGGAGGUUUAUCCACCAAUUUUUAUUUAUUUUUUAUACUGAAAACAUGAUAUAUAACAAUCAUAAAACUUUUAGCAACGGAUCUCUGGGCUCUC